rnacentral:lncRNA from 1 species
CUGGGGGUGGGGAGGACUCUAGAUCUAUUUGAAUCUACUCCGGAAGUGGAAGAGUACGAAAAAAAAAAGAAAGAAAGAAAGAAAGAAAGAAAGAAAGAAAGAAAGAAAGAAAGAAAGAAAGAAAGAAAGAAAGAAAGAAAGAAAGAAACAACCAGAGGCGCAGAAAGAAGAAAGCUCUCCCGGCGAGUGAAAGAAGGUGACCGAGCCAGAAGGAGAGAGCACAGAUGACUUGGUGAUGGUAUGGUAUGCUCCAUCGGCUGCCAACCUAAGGCCAUCGCCUGCCUCCAUCACCCCUUCGCCUGCCUGCCUACCACCCAAUCCCAAAUGGGUGCUGGAUCAGGUGCCGAAUCUGGCUGCCUCCUCG